rnacentral:rRNA from 1 species
GACGAACGCUGGCGGCGUGCUUAACACAUGCAAGUCGAACGCUGAAGCCCAGCUUGCUGGGUGGAUGAGUGGCGAACGGGGGAGUAAAACAUGAGUAACAUGCGCUCUUCUUUGGGGUAACGCUCGGAAACGGGUGGUAAUACUGGAGAUUGACGGAUUCGCGCCAGGGGGGUGGUGGGAAGGUUUUGGCUGGUGGGGGAGGGGCUCGCGGCUUAUCGGCUGGUGGGUGGGGUGGUGGCUUACAAAGGCUUGGACGGGAAGCCGGCCUGGAAGGGUGACCGGCCACAUUGGGACUGAGAUACGGCCCAGACUCCUAUGGGAGGCAGCAGUGGGGAAUAUUGCACAAUGGGCGGAAGCCUGACGCAGCAACGCCGCGUGCGGGAUUUCGGCCUUCGUUUUGUAAACCGCUUUCGCCUGUGACGAAGUGUGAGUGACGGUAAUGGGUAAAGAAGCACCGGCUAACUACGUG